rnacentral:rRNA from 1 species
GUCAGGUGUCUUCGGACGCCGGCGUUACGGCUCAGUUAACACGUAGGUAACCUACCCUCAGGACUGAGAUAACCCCGGGAAACUGGGGCUAAUAUUAGAUAGAUAAAAGGUACUGGAAUGUUCUUUUAUCCAAAGCUUUUGCGCCUGAGGAUGGGCCUGCGUCCGAUUAGGUUGUUGGUGGGGUAAUGGCCCACCAAGCCUGCGAUCGGUACGGGCAGUGAGAGCUGAAGCCCGGAGUUGGGGACUGAGACAAGGCCCCAGGCCCUACGGGGCGCAGCAGGCGCGAAACCUCUGCAAUGCGGGAAACCGUGACAGGGGGAUCCCAAGUGCUCAUGCAUUGCAUGGGCUGUUCUUUGGUCUAAGUAACCAGAGGAGUAAGGGCUGGGCAAGACCGGUGCCAGCCGCCGCGGUAAUACCGGCAGCUCAAGUGGUAGCCGCGAUUAUUGGGCCUAAAGCGUUCGUAGCCGGAUAAGUAAGUCUUUGGUUAAAUCCUGCGACUUAACCGUGGGAAAUCUAGAGAUACUGCUUGUCUUGAGACCGGGAGAGGUUGGAGGUACUCCCAGGGUAGGGGUGAAAUCCUGUAAUCCUGGGGGGACCACCUGUGGCGAAGGCGUCCAACUGGAACGGGUCUGACGGUGAGGGACGAAACCUAGGGGAGCGAGCCGGAUUAGAUACCCGGGUAGUCCUAGGCGUAAAUGAUGCGAGUUAAGUGUGGGGGCAUCCACGAGAUGGCCCUGUGCUGUAGGGUAGCCGUUAAACUCGCCGCCUGGGGAGUACGGUCGCAAGGCUGAAACUUAAAGGAAUGGCGGGGAGCACCACAAGAGGUGGANGGCUGCNGUUCANUUGGAUUCAACGC